rnacentral:rRNA from 1 species
CGAACGGGUGAGUAACACGUGGGCAACCCUGCCCAAAAGAGGGGGAUAACACUUGGAAACAGGUGCUAAUACCGCAUAACCAUAGUUACCGCAUGGUAACUAUGUAAAAGGUGGCUAUGCUACCGCUUUUGGAUGGGCCCGCGGCGCAUUAGCUAGUUGGUGGGGUAAAGGCUUACCAAGGCAAUGAUGCGUAGCCGAACUGAGAGGUUGAUCGGCCACAUUGGGACUGAGACACGGCCCAAACUCCUACGGAAGGCAGCAG